CAAGAGCAAAGCCAUGAGCUAACCAAAGAUCCACUUUCUGAGAUAAAUCUUGUCUUAGAAAGGAAAUGAAGGCAUACAAUGUGUGUGGCAGGAGGGGCCAUGAGGAGGGGGCUGAGGUCAGAUAUGAUCGGAACGCUAGUGUCACAGUUGUCUCCUGUAAACUGGUCUCUGGGAGCUGGGUCAAGGCAGAGGAGUUGAAAGCCAAACACAGACAGCAGCUGUUGAGGAUGUAAAGUCUCUGGGCAGAGUGGAUAGGGAGCUGGGUGUGGUCACCCAGAAGCCAAUUUCCACCCCACCCUACAGACCUAGCGACUGGGGCUAAGAAGAACUUCCCGUGUUGCAUUCCAGCCCUUCUGAUUGGGCUUAGUGAGACUGCCAAAGACUGGCUGCAAGCUGCCUGAUUGCACUGCAUACACCUCCCUCAAUGGUGUCCCGGCUGGAAAACACUGAGGCUUUUAAGAAUACCACGUCCAGAUGGCCAGGAUGCAGGACUGACCUGCAAUUGCCACACUGGGCACCAGGUACAAGUAGAUUUCACUGAAGUCCUCGAGGGACUGAGUGAAACUGCUGGGGUAUGCGGGUCUUUCCUAUGUUGCACAAAUCAGUGCUGAGCUGCAUAGGUGACAAUGAUCACUUCCACAAUUUCCCAGAACAUUUGUCAAGAGCCUGAAAGGGCUGCAUCACUGAGCAGGGAAUCUUCAUUAUUCAUUUCAACAUCACUUUUCUUGGAAACCUUGACUACUCCGCUCUCCAGAAAUAAUCCAUCAAACUUUUCUCUUCGUUGAAGUCAUACUGCAAAAACUCCCAUAAUCAAAUUCCCCACAUUAGGAUCCCUGUUUAUUAUGUAACAACAGAGUCAAGAGGGAAAAGAGUGCAUCAGACAUUGACAUUUUUUUUCUCUCUCUCUCUCUUUUAAGUUUUUGUCAUGAAAAUUUUCAAACACACACAAAAUGAGAGAAACGUAAAAAUGAACCCCCAUGUACCCACCAUCCAGCUUGGAUAAUCUCAACAUACACCAAUCUUGUUUCAUCUAUUGCCCCUCACCCCCACAACUAUUCUUUUUUUUUUUUUUUUUUUUUUUUGCUGGAAUUUUAAAAAGCAAAUCCCAGACACAGCAUCACUUCACUAAUACAUACUUCAGCAUGCAUCUCUAACUAAUAAGGACUUUCCUUUUUUUUUUUUUUUUUUUGAGAUGGAGUUUCAUUCUUGUUGCCCAGGCUGGAGUGCAAUGGCGCAAUCUUGGCUCACUGCAAACUCUGCCGCCGGGGUUAAAGCGAUCCUCCUGCCUCUGCCUCCUGAGUAGCUGGGAUUACAGGCACCUGCCACCAUGCCCGGCUAAUUUUCUGUAUUUUUAGAAGAGAUGGGGUUUCACUAUGUUGGCCAGGCUGGUCUCAAACUCCUGACCUCAGGCGAUCUGCCCACCUCGGCCUCCCAAAGCGCUGGGAUUACAGGCAUGAACCACCGAACCCAGCCAGGACUUUCGUUUUUAACAUAAGCUCUGUAGACACUAGUAUUUAUUUAUUUGGUAUCUAUUGGUAUCUAUUUAGCAUUUAGUAUUAGUGGGAGCCAUUACAGUAAGACUCUUUACACUGUUUAUUUCAUAAAAUCUCAGCUCAGCAAAGAAACACCCUAGAAAUUCACAAACUCCC
rnacentral:lncRNA from 1 species